ACGGCAGUGAUGGAAUUGGUAGACAUGUAGUGCUUAGGACACUAUGCGCGUCAGUGCAUGCUGGUUCAAAUCCAGCCCGCCGUA